ACGGGUGAGUAAUGUCUGGGGAUCUGCCCGAUAGAGGGGGAUAACCACUGGAAACGGUGGCUAAUACCGCAUAACGUCGCAAGACCAAAGAGGGGGACCUUCGGGCCUCUCACUAUCGGAUGAACCCAGAUGGGAUUAGCUAGUAGGCGGGGUAAUGGCCCACCUAGGCGACGAUCCCUAGCUGGUCUGAGAGGAUGACCAGCCACACUGGAACUGAGACACGGUCCAGACUCCUACGGGAGGCAGCAGUGGGGAAUAUUGCACAAUGGGCGCAAGCCUGAUGCAGCCAUGCCGCGUGUAUGAAGAAGGCCUUCGGGUUGUAAAGUACUUUCAGCGGGGAGGAAGGCGGUGAGGUUAAUAACCUUGCCGAUUGACGUUACCCGCAGAAGAAGCACCGGCUAACUCCGUGCCAGCAGCCGCGGUAAUACGGAGGGUGCAAGCGUUAAUCGGAAUUACUGGGCGUAAAGCGCACGCAGGCGGUCUGUUAAGUCAGAUGUGAAAUCCCCGGGCUUAACCUGGGAACUGCAUUUGAAACUGGCAGGCUUGAGUCUCGUAGAGGGGGGUAGAAUUCCAGGUGUA
rnacentral:rRNA from 1 species